UUUAAGCCGAGCUCUGGGAAAACGGGGCUUAUGCAAGUUCGUAAAGUGUCGUCUGAGAUUAGCCUGUGCUGUCCGCUUGUACGGCAUUUUUCUUUUUAAAAAGUCUCCUGCUAUCAACAAAUCCUGUUUAAGGGGAAAGUGUUGUCCCUGAUCAGUCACUGUAGACAAGACCGAUAAAUCUGAGACGACACUUAACGCACAUGCAUUAAGCCCCAUUUUACCCCAGGGCGGCUCAUUUCUUUAUCGAAUUCACCGUUAUUCUCUCCUACAUGAGCACCGCAAUCGGAAGACUGCAUGGACACAGUGUUUCGGAGUAGCUCGGUGUGUCGGUCCGUUGAUGUGUCCGGAAAGCAGCGUCCAAUAUAUCCCUAAGCUAUGGACGGUUGCAUAAAGUCAAGGCAAUGACAGAUAUAUGAAGUAUUUCAAAUUGUAGAUCGCCAAAGCGUUGCAGGCGUCGGGGUGGGGUGGGGGGAGGCAGCGUGAGGAUAGCAAGAUACAGGCAACGUUCGAUUCCAGGCAUAGAAGUUGUGUAUUUUAGUUCCCGUUGUGAAGAACCCAGUAGACUGAAGAAAAGCGUUUGUUUUUAGAUAACAUAGCAUGGCCUGAUAUUUUUGGACAACAUUGAAAAAACAUGUUCAUAUAUUUGACGAUAUUCCAAAGUUGUGUCGGUAAUUCCCAAAAUAAAAGAAUAAUCGAGUUAACUGAGUGAAAACACUAUGGACAAAGAUAUAUGCUAUAUAUUCCGUUAUGUUAUGGCUUAGACUUAGAUAUUAUAUAUCUAUAUCAUGGGAAACAUUACACAAUGUUUGUAUCUCUCUAAAUGAAAGCAUGAUUCUAUAUAUAUGGCAUUUGCUUUACUUUCAGAUUGAAAUAAAAGUCAAAGUUCAUUUAAGGUCUCCGUUCUAACCAAUUUUGCCGGUACUUCCGGUCCGCUGGGAGACGUAUUGCCAGUGUGCACUUCUGUUCAUCAGUUCACCGCCACCGACCAGAAUGACGCCAUUUCCUGUUCCAUCAACGCACCGGAGGGCGCAAAGUUUGGCAUCACUAAGGGUUCGACGUCAUGACGAUUGCCACGCUUGAUUACGACUCUGCUACGAGUUACACGAUCACCGUCACGUGUACUGACGCUAUCAACCCUGUGACGUCAUCAAGGACCAUCAACUUAGCAGAUGACGUCGUCCAGCGUCUUCUCGACUACAGAUGUAUCGACCUGCCCCUGUGACCCUUCAGGGGAGAAAAUAAGGUCACUGAAGUCGAGAAACCCGUUUUCUCCGGACUUCGGCUACGUUGUCGCCGGCACGUAACGACGACUUUCAGACGGCGACGUUACUUUGCACGUUCAGCGUCACGGACGCCAACGACCAGAGUAUUAUCACGUGCUUGAUACAGGAAUUUAAAGCUGGUUCGGUGGCUGUGCAACGUCAUUGGGGAAGUUCACAACUACGGACCCGGAUACGACAUGUUCUGUGACGUCACCUGUGACAACAGUCUAUGAGAUCAGAAAAAUUGCGUCACCGACCGAUCCCUAGAAACCGGAGUUCGAAGUGUGGAUCAGAAACGCCGUUACCCAGGCGUCUAUCGACUUCAAUGACUAGGCUGUUCCGCUGCCGCUAACAAUCAAGUGCACAGACGGAAACGUUGUCAAUGACAUCACGGCGACGUUUAACGUCAACAUCGUGGACUCGCCACUGGUUUUCACUGCACUGCCUGCUACCGGAUCUAACAUUUUCGACGGUCUCAAACACGCCACCGAAACCCUUCACACAUUCAGUGUCACCGAUAGCGACGACACCGUUACGUGCUCUGCAAGAGCGCCGGAAAACGCCCUUUUUGAAGUGGUCGCCGGCGUGGCACCAAGAAAUAAACUGGAAAAAUCAAUACCAAUUUAAUCCUCGUUCUGGGAAAACUGGGCUUAAUGCAUGUGCUUUAAAAGUGGUCUCUGAGCGGACCCAGGCUAAAAGGAUUUACAGUUAACGUAAGGAUGGGGGUUACGCUAAGAGCAGAGAACGGACCUUACGUCAUCAACGUCGACUGCUCAGAUGGCGACAAUGACGUCACUGCGACGUUCACACAACCAGUGAUGGAUACGCCGCCGACCGUUGUAUCCGGGAUCCCCUGAAGUUCCCCAAGGUAUCUGACGCCACUGUCACGCAGACGUUACUCGGGAAGUUUACAACUACAGACCCAGAUACGGCGCGCUCUGUGACGUCACCAUCCACCACCGUGUAUGAGAUCAGAAAUGUGACGUCACCGGUGAAUGUUUCUCAGCCAGGAAAUCCUCCAGUAAGGAUAAGAAGUUUAUUGCGGCUGAUGUUGACACAUAUCUCUAUGAGGUUAGGGGAAACAUUGGUGAACGCUGCCUGCCCGACAACACGAAAAUGUUGGCUCUGUACAAGGUCAACCCCAACGCUGAGUGGGUCUUGAAACACAGACAACGCAUGAAAGCCUAUUAACCGCGUCUUAAAAUUGUUCGACAGAGACUGAAAUUUUGCUGGCAGAGAGAAUGGGCAAAACCUCGUAUUUAGCGGUUCUGACAAAAGCCCUCCAUCCCAUUUCUGUGUAUAGCUCUCAUUUCCAUUUAGAGCUCCAAUAACUAUUUUGAGCUCCCAUUUCUAUUUAGAGCUCACUUGUGUUUUUAGAGCCCUAAUGUCUGUUUAGAGCUCCAAUUUAUAUGUAUUGCUCCCAUUACUAUUUAAAGCUUCUUUGUUAUUGUAUGUUUUCUGCAAAGUAUUAUACAUGUACUAUAAUUACUGAUGCUGGCCCUUUUUGACCCAUAUCCAACAGUGUUGUCUCAUUACAUUUAAUGUUAUGUGCAUCACAAAUGUUGCGCUAAGUUAUUUCUUGUGUUUGUAUACUAGAUGACUAUUAGGAAUAUGUACUAUAAUAGUAAAUAUGGCUAUACACAUGUUAUUAAAUACGUCUGAAGAUGAAA